rnacentral:rRNA from 1 species
UGCCCGAAAGGGUGACGAUGCGACGCCGCGUGAGCGAAGAAGGCCCUAGGGUUGUAAAGCUCUGUCAGGGGUUAAGAAAUGUAGAUAGGUUAAUACCCUGUUUAUUUGACAAAAGCCCCAAAGGAAGCCACGGCUAACUCUGUGCCAGCAGCCGCGGUAAUACAGAGGUGGCAAGCGUUGUUCGGUAUUAUUGGGCGUAAGGAGCACGUAGGUGGUUUUGUAAGUCAGAUGUGAAAGCCUUCUGUUCAAAGGAAGAACGGCAUCUGAAACUGCAAAUCUUGAGUGUAGGAGGGGAGAGUGGAACUUCUGGUGGAGCGGUGAAAUGCGUAGAUAUCAGAAGGAACGUCGGCGGCGAAAGCGACUCUCUGGCCUAUUACUGACACUGAGUGUGCGAAAGUUAGGGGAGCAAACGGGAUUAGAUACCCCGGUAGUCCUAACCGUAAACGAUGGGCACUAAGUAGAGGGGU